rnacentral:rRNA from 1 species
CAGUCGCCGCGGGAAUACGAAGGGUGCAAGCGUUACUCGGAAUUACUGGGCGUAAAGCGUGCGUAGGUGGUGGUUUAAGUCCGUUGUGAAAGCCCUGGGCUCAACCUGGGAAUUGCAGUGGAUACUGGGUCACUAGAGUGUGGUAGAGGAUAGUGGAAUUUCCGGUGUAGCAGUGAAAUGCGUAGAGAUCGGAAGGAACAUCUGUGGCGAAGGCGACUAUCUGGGCCAACACUGACACUGAGGCACGAAAGCGUGGGGAGCAAACAGGAUUAGAUACCCCUGUAGUUCCUGUCUCUUAUAA